GUUGCUUCUUGCAGCAGUAGAGUGUUUCAGAAGAGAGAAAAAGAUGGUGGCCAUGAACUGGCUUUCUGUGGCUGGUAAAGCUGUGCUGAGAACUGGGCUGACUAUUGCAACUGAAAAUGCGUGCCAAGUCUGCAGACGCAGAGGAAUAACUUUUCCGUGUAGGUUGAGCUUGUCUAAGGUAGGUGUCCUUGCUAGGUGAGCUUCUGCUUUAAAGCAUCAAGUUGUAAUUUUAAAAGCAAGGUUGCCAGUUCUUUUUUUACCCAAGUGAUUUUUUAGCAAGGAGAGAUUUCAGAUGCUGUUUGGUAAUGGAAGAUGGAGAGAGGAAAAGCGAGUAAAAGGCAUGCUGUGCAUAGCCAGCGCAUCCCAUCUGCACUGUUGUCCCCCUGCACAAAGGAGAGGAGCAUCUCAGCAAGCUUGGCCUGGGCCAUGGAAG
ensembl:lncRNA